CCCCCCUCGACCCUCUCGACCCUCUCGCCACAUCGCGGCAACCAACACGGCAGGUAAAAACCAAACACGGCCUCUGCCCAACUGCCGUGAACCAGAGAGCCAGCGCGUGACGGACGAGCGACGACUCCCUCGGCAGGAGCCACUCGCUGCGCCACGCGACUUUGUCGCCGCCGAGACGACCCGAGUUGUCCCGUUCGGACAACGCUGGCUGAGCGAAGCGUGCACGAGCGAUUGAAUCCUCCCCUCCGGUCAACGGUCAAAGCGCCCACGAGGACAACAGCAAUAACAACAACACCGCCGCCAAUGGAAAUGAUGGCUGGGGAACAAAAGCGAGCGACAUCGUAAAAUAGGCAGCCAAGUCAGUGGCCGCGACGAAAACGAAGGGAAGCUCAAUUUGUGUCAGUGAUCAGAGCCUGGUCCACUGUAGUACAGUACAUCUUCAUUCAAGGUCCGAUGGUAAAUUAUUGCCCGUGGUGAAGGCUGUUCCGGCAGCAGUGUUUUGAGAGGACUAACGCGAGACACUGGAUGCCUGCACACAUGUGCAUCUCAGUGACAUUGUUACGGCACUCAUCAAGAAAGCGCCCUUCACUUCUCGGCUUGGAGAAAAAAAAACAUGCACACAGCCGCACGUCGCCCGCCGGCUCCUCGUCGGUUCGCCCGGGACAACAAAAAAAUCCCGGCCGCUCACGCUCUUAUGGGGCGGACCACCAUGGUACUCCACCGCG